rnacentral:rRNA from 1 species
ACGGGUGAGUAACACGUGAGCAACCUGCCCUGGACUCUGGGAUAAGCGCUGGAAACGGCGUCUAAUACUGGAUAUGAGCCCCUAUCGCAUGGUGGGGGUUGGAAAGAUUUUUUGGUCUGGGAUGGGCUCGCGGCCUAUCAGCUUGUUGGUGAGGUAAUGGCUCACCAAGGCGUCGACGGGUAGCCGGCCUGAGAGGGUGACCGGCCACACUGGGACUGAGACACGGCCCAGACUCCUACGGGAGGCAGCAGUGGGGAAUAUUGCACAAUGGGCGAAAGCCUGAUGCAGCAACGCCGCGUGAGGGAUGACGGCCUUCGGGUUGUAAACCUCUUUUAGCAGGGAAGAAGCGAAAGUGACGGUACCUGCAGAAAAAGCGCCGGCUAACUACGUGCCAGCAGCCGCGGUAAUACGUAGGGCGCAAGCGUUAUCCGGAAUUAUUGGGCGUAAAGAGUUCGUAGGCGGUUUGUCGCGUCUGCUGUGAAAUCCCGAGGCUCAACCUCGGGCCUGCAGUGGGUACGGGCAGACUAGAGUGCGGUAGGGGAGAUUGGAAUUCCUGGUGUAGCGGUGGAAUGCGCAGA